rnacentral:rRNA from 1 species
AUUGAACGCUGGCGGCAUGCCUUACACAUGCAAGUCGAACGGCAGCACGGGAGCAAUCCCGGUUGCGAGCGGCGGACGGGUGAGUAAUAUAUCGGAACGUGCCCGGUAGUGGGGGAUAACGCACGGAAAGGUAUGCUAAUACCGCGUACGAUCUACGGGUGAAAGCGGGGGAUCGCCAGGCCUUGCGCUAUCAGAGGGGCCGAGAUCAGAUUAGCUAGUUGGUGAGGUAAAGGCUCACCAAGGCGACGAUCUGUAGCUGGUCUGAGAGGACGACCAGCCACACUGGAACUGAGACACGGUCCAGACUCCUACGGGAGGCAGCAGUGGGGAAUUUUGGACAAUGGGCGAAAGCCUGAUCCAGCAAUGCCGCGUGCAGGAUGAAGGCCUUCGGGUUGUAAACUGCUUUUGUACGGAACGAAACGGUGAGCUCUAAUACAGUUUGCUAAUGACGGAACCGUAAGAAUAAGCACCGGCUAACUACGUGCCAGCCGCCGCUGUAA